CAGGUCCCCCGACGGCAGCCCCGGCCCCCUGGGGACCCUGCGCCGCACCCUCACCUUCGAGGAGGAGCCCGAAGCUCCGCCCCAAUAAAGGGCCCGGCCGCCCCACGGCGCCGCCCCACGGAGCAGCCGCUGCCGCCUGCCUCCCCGCUUUAUUGGCGUCGCCCUCCGGGAACGGGGUCGGAGCGCGGGGGGGACAUCGGUUGGCCACCGGGAUGGCGACGGCGUUGGGGACAGCGGUUGGCCGCUGGGACCUCUGUGGGUCACGGCGUGGGGCGGGUGCUGGUUGGCCGUGGGGGACAUCCGUGUGGGGCAGGCGCCGGUUGGCCAACCGCGGCGUUGGGCCAUGGCACGGUGGGGGACAUUGGUUGGCCAAUGGGAUGGCAACGAGGGUGGUGGUUGGCCAAGGGGAUGGCGGCAGCGUUGGUUGGCCAACGGGAUGGUGGCACUGGUUGGCCAAUGGGAUGGCGGUGAAGGUGGUGGUUGGCCAACGGGAUGGUGGCACUGAUUGGCCAACGGGAUGGUGGUGAAGGUGGCGGUUGGCCAAUGGGAUGGUGGCACUGGUUGGCCAACAGGGUGGCAGCAACAUUGGUUGGCCAAUGGGAUGGUGGCACCAGUUGGCCAACGGGUUGGCAACGAGGGUGGUGGUUGGCCAAUGGGAUGGCAGCGUUGGUUGGCCAACGGGAUGGUGGCACUGGUUGGCCAACGGGAUGGCAUCAAGGGUGGUGGUUGGCCAACGGGAUGGUGGCACUGGCUGGCCAACGGGAUGGCAUCAAGGGUGGUGGUUGGCCAAUGGGAUGGUGGCACUGGUUGACCAA
rnacentral:lncRNA from 1 species